rnacentral:rRNA from 1 species
UGUGAAGUUACUUAAACAACCAGGAGGUUGGCUUAGAAGCAGCCAUCCUUUAAAGAAAGCGUAAUAGCUCACUGGUCUAGUGAUUUUGCGCGGAAAAUAUAACGGGGCUAAAGUAAGUACCGAAGCUGUAGACUUGCGCACAACUUAGAUUAUUUAAGUUUAGAAUAUGAGAAACUAAGUUAUGUUUAGUUAUAUUUUUACUGAUUUUUAUAGAGUAAAGAUAGAAAUAAAACUUAGUAAAAUCAGUAAAAAUAUUCUUAGGCUAAAGUUAAGUAGUUUAAGUUGUGUGCAAGUGGUAGGAGAGCGUUCUAUUUGCGUCGAAGGUAUACCGGUAAGGAGUGCUGGAGCGAAUAGAAGUGAGCAUGCAGGCAUGAGUAGCGAUAAUUAAUGUGAGAAUCAUUAACGCCGUAAACCCAAGGUUUCCUACGCGAUGCUCGUCAUCGUAGGGUUAGUCGGGUCCUAAGUCGAGUCCGAAAGGGGUAGACGAUGGCAAAUUGGUUAAUAUUCCAAUACCAACAUUAGUGUGCGAUGGAAGGACGCUUAGGGCUAAGGGGGCUAGCGGAUGGAAGUGCUAGUCUAAGGUCGUAGGAGGUUAUACAGGCAAAUCCGUAUAACAAUACUCCGAGAACUGAAAGGCUUUUUGAAGUCUUCGGAUGGAUAGAAGAACCCCUGAUGCCGUCGAGCCAAGAAAAGUUUCUAAGUUUAGCUAAUGUUGCCCGUACCGUAAACCGACACAGGUGGGUGGGAUGAGUAUUCUAAGGCGCGUGGAAGAACUCUCUUUAAGGAACUCUGCAAAAUAGCACCGUAUCUUCGGUAUAAGGUGUGGUUAGCUUUGUAUUAGGAUUUACUCUGAAAGCAAGGAAACUUACAACAAAGAGUCCCUCCCGACUGUUUACCAAAAACACAGCACUCUGCUAACUCGUAAGAGGAUGUAUAGGGUGUGACGCCUGCCCGGUGCUCGAAGGUUAAUUGAUGGGGUUAGCAUUAGCGAAGCUCUUGAUCGAAGCCCGAGUAAACGGCGGCCGUAACUAUAACGGUCCUAAGGUAGCGAAAUUCCUUGUCGGUUAAAUACCGACCUGCAUGAAUGGCGUAACGAGAUGGGAGCUGUCUCAAAGAGGGAUCCAGUGAAAUUGUAGUGGAGGUGAAAAUUCCUCCUACCCGCGGCAAGACGGAAAGACCCCGUGGACCUUUACUACAGCUUGACACUGCUACUUGGAUAAGAAUGUGCAGGAUAGGUGGGAGGCUUUGAGUAUAUGACGCCAGUUGUAUAUGAGCCAUUGUUGAGAUACCACUCUUUCUUAUUUGGGUAGCUAACCAGCUUGAGUUAUCCUCAAGUGGGACAAUGUCUGGUGGGUAGUUUGACUGGGGCGGUCGCCUCCCAAAUAAUAACGGAGGCUUACAAAGGUUGGCUCAGAACGGUUGGAAAUCGUUCGUAGAGUAUAAAGGUAUAAGCCAGCUUAACUGCAAGACAUACAAGUCAAGCAGAGACGAAAGUCGGUCUUAGUGAUCCGGUGGUUCUGUGUGGAAGGGCCAUCGCUCAAAGGAUAAAAGGUACCCCGGGGAUAACAGGCUGAUCUCCCCCAAGAGCUCACAUCGACGGGGAGGUUUGGCACCUCGAUGUCGGCUCAUCGCAUCCUGGGGCUGGAGCAGGUCCCAAGGGUAUGGCUGUUCGCCAUUUAAAGCGGUACGCGAGCUGGGUUCAGAACGUCGUGAGACAGUUCGGUCCCUAUCUGCCGUGGGCGUAAGAAGAUUGAAGAGAUUUGACCCUAGUACGAGAGGACCGGGUUGAACAAACCACUGGUGUAGCUGUUGUUCUGCCAAGAGCAUCGCAGCGUAGCUAAGUUUGGAAAGGAUAAACGCUGAAAGCAUCUAAGCGUGAAGCCAACUCUAAGAUGAAUCUUCUCUAAGCUCUCUAGAAGACUACUAGUUUGAUAGGCUGGGUGUGUAAUGGAUGAAAGUCCUUUAGCUGACCAGUACUAAUAGAGCGUUUGGCUUAUCUUU